UUCUCAAUCUGCGUUCUUGUCUGUACUUGUGUUCUUGUGGACUUGGAAACGUCAUCAGUCAGUUUGCCAAGUACAAAACCAAUACCCGGAUGUGUUCUUGCUCCUCCCACUUUAUCGAGGAUGCAUGGAAGGUGACUUGUGUGGACUUCUCACAGCCCGAUAACCCAGAAUGCACCUCACAGCAGUCUCAGUGUAAUGCAGGAUGAGAAGGUACAUAACUGUAAGUACGUUUUUAAAACAGUACUGCUGUGUGCUAAAAUAAUGUUUUAAGUUAUUUUCAGGCGAGAAUGUAGGGGUUUAGACUUCAGAUAUGUGGUUUAUUUGUUAAGAAAGCGGCUAGGUGAAAAUGUGCUCCUAUGUUUUCGGAACAACGCUUUCUGCUCCUCUAAGAGGGUGACGUCAUCAAGUAGACAGCUGUUCCAGUUACACAACAACCAUCCCGUUUCCUCCUGUUCUCGGGAGUAUGCACUCGUGAUCUGAACUUCCCAAGUCCGUUCUUCACAAGUACUGGAGUACAGACUUGUGUAUUGAGAAACGGUCCUGGUGUUGCUGCGUUUCCUCGCGCCUGUCUGCAGGAGCUCGACCGGACCUCGUGUGUGAUUUGAACACGGACGGUGUUCUGAGCUUCCCGUCGUGAGUUCUGUUGCCAUGGCUACUGAGGACGCCAUCUCCGUGAGCUCUGUGUGAACUAAUACUUCGAGCUUCAGAUCAUCUCUACUGGUCCUUGAGGACAGUCCCUUCAGAGAUCUGCACUCCAACACUUGAGUGUCAUUACUGAACAACUGAACUGCCGUCUGUGGAGAUGAUGCAACCAGGCAGACACAGGGGCUUGUUUACAAAUGUGAAAUUGCUUCACAGCCACUUAUAUUCACUUUGAAUCCUUGAAUCAAUGUUUCAUCUCUGUGCGUUGCCAUCUGCUCUCCUUGAAUAUCAGCUCCAUCUUUUCUUUAUAAACACAGGAACUUGUACUAAUCGUCUGAAAAUACACUGAUUUUAAGUUUUAUACGAGGUCCUGUCUGAGGUUUCAAGCUUUACUGCUUUUCUGCUGAGUUAAUGAUUCACUGUAGAUCGCAAUAAUUUUUAUUUACAACAGCAUUUUUUUUU